CGCUGCACACCACCCUGUACUCUAUGCCGACAGAUCGGCUCACCAGGCAUGACUGUUGAGCUUGUAGGCUGUGGGCUGAACGGCUGCCUGCUUCCUCUAUCUCCCAGUAGGGUACGCAGCAUAGGCAGAGGCCCUGGUGGGAGCUGGCUGGCGAGCCUACGUGGUUUGGACGUGUGUCUGUCGAGCUGCACAUCUCCCUGACGCCAGUGCUGGCAGUCCCGGGACUCCUCAGCAACGACUUUUGUGCUUGCAGGCUGAGACGUGGUAGCAGAGGGUAUAGAUUCAUCAUUUCCCACGUGGGGCUCCAUUCCACCGUCUUUCCGUCCGAUUUGAUGGCCCUUCAAAAGGACAAUGCAAGUCCACAUCGCCCACAAAAACGAUUGGAUUUACUCCCUCUGCCCACUUGUCCAACUCAACAGUCUGAACUCAAGGUUACCCUAAAGAAGACACUGCCUAGUAUACAUGUUAAACGGGAAGGGCCAGAUGUUCUCCUAACGGCAGGAAGAAGACAUGCCUGUGUCUCUCCAGAAAAUGAACAAGGUCCCAGAUGGCUCCCAAUCUGUUGAGUCCAACCGGGAUAGCAUCCCACAGACCACCUGACAAACGAAGUAUCUGAAGGGAGCAGACAAGCCCAUCAAAAGGAGAUGCCCCAGGAGAAAGAAUAAGCCGGUGCUUUGGGAAGACAACAAGAACACACUGACCCAAAUUGAUGCUGUUACGUUUGUUGACGGCAUUGCAUGCUAACUCUUAGCCUGUCCAUGCAGAAUGCAAACGCCUAUCGUCAGAGGGGAGGAAAGGCUCACCUUUGAUAGGAGGCUGCAUGAUGCUGUUUUGCCAUGCCAAAGAUUCUUCUUAUUACCAGUCCCAGGAAUUACAAGCCCCUGGACUACAGUGAGGUCUCAAAGAUGCCCUACAGGAUUAGGAAAACUACUAAUUUGAUGGCAAAAAUAUUAGUGGAAAUCAACCAAGAGACCGGCAGAUUGGGAAGCACAGCUCUACAAAAGCUACUCUAGAGCGUUAGUCAAGCACAAUCUUGGUUGUCAAUGUCAUAUGUCUCUUACAAUCGAUGGUCAAAUUAAAUGGUAUGCAUGAAGAGAUAAACAAAAUCUCGAAGGUGACCUUUGAAUGUCCACCAUGGUUAACAUAGUUUCCCCCUUUCCUUGGCCUUUUGUUAGUAUGCUGGCUGGU